UAGAAACAGUUGAACACAACGUUAAUUGGGGAUUAGGUUCUUCAAUUACUAAACAUCAAACCCUAAUUCACAACAAAUCUGUCCAUCCAACGAUCGAAUUCCCAAAAUCAUCACUCAUAGUUGAUUGGAAUAUGUGGUUUUUUCUGUUCUUCCCCCCUAUUUCACCCAAUUCCCGCCUGUCGUCAACCAAACCCUCACACUUUUCUCUCCACUCGCCGGUACCGUCGUUCUAUUGCAGCUACUUCGCAGUUUCUACUUUUGCUUUUUCCCUCAAGAUCUCUUUUCAGUUGUGAAAUCAAGCCACUGUCUCUUCGAUGGAGCAUUGCACUGGGUCCGACGAGUGGAAAAUUUUUAUCACUAUAUAAUGAAAUUCGAAUUGAGCUCUGAGGUUUUUUCUAUCAUUGAGUUGCCGAAGCCAAGUUGGGUGUCGUGGUUUGUUUAAAAGAUGAUGAUACCGAGAUUUGGGUGAGGAGAGAAUAUAGUGACACUAAUGUGGUUUUUUUAUUUUUUAUUAUAUGCUUAUAGGGGUUACUAAAUGGAUACAUGUGGUUUUUUUA